rnacentral:rRNA from 1 species
CAGGGAAUAUUGCACAAUGGGCGAAAGCCUGAUGCAGCGACGCCGCGUGCGGGAUGAAGGCCUUCGGGUUGUAAACCGCUUUCAGCAGGGACGAAACUGACGGUACCUGCAGAAGAAGCCCCGGCCAACUACGUGCCAGCAGCCGCGGUAACACGUAGGGGGCGAGCGUUGUCCGGAUUUAUUGGGCGUAAAGGGCUCGUAGGUGGCUUGACAAGUCGGUCGUGAAAACCCGGGGCUCAACCCCGGGACGCCGGUCGAAACUGUCAUGGCUAGGGUCCGGUAGAGGUGAGUGGAAUUCUCGGUGUAGCGGUGAAAUGCGCAGAUAUCGAGAGGAACACCAGUAGCGAAGGCGGCUCACUGGGCCGGUACCGACACUGAGGAGCGAAAGCGUGGGGAGCAAACAGGAUUAGAUACCCCCGUAGUCC